ACAACCUUAAUGACCAGAGCUCUCUGGUGUAAAAUGUAAAAUUUAUAAAGCUCGCACCAGUAAAAUUCUAAUAAAAUGUCAACAAUCUGCAGCCACCAGUGACCUGUCAUCAGGGGACAGUCUGUUCAAGAAACAAGUAGUUGUCUUAAUUGUUAGAAUAAUAUUCAAGGAAUGAUUUAUUAAUUUUCCCCUUUGCCUCACAUUAGCUUCUUUCGCAGUGCGCCCGCCUGCAGAAGUCAGCUGUAGCCACCCAAAUGCAUGAACAACAACAGCAGAAAACCUAAGAAACAACCACUCCUCUUCUCUUGCCUACCAACUGCUAAAUCCAAGAAAAUGUACAUUUUCCCAUUUUGAGGAUUCCAAUAGGACUUAGCCUCCAGGAGCUUGGAGUAUUGCCUGCAAGAUGCUGGACCCCAGCUUCAGACUCCACAAAAACAAAGUGUCCGUGCCAGCCUCGGCCACCAAGGACCCCAGGCCUCCGACUCCCCCCACAAAUCCGACUGCACAGAUGCAGGUUCCCUAUGCUGCCUGCUGGCUGACACCGCAGCCCAGGAGGCAGCCUGUGGAAUUAGCAAUGAUACCGGUGGCUUCUAAGAAAACAAAUCAGUCUGCAAGGCCAGGAUUCGAAGAGGAGCUGAGGCUUGGGAGGAGCGAAUCGCCAGCUUGUCCAUAGUCCCUGCGCCUCAGCGCCAUGCACAGAACCCCACGCUGAGGACAGAGCCACAUCAGCUGUGAGGCUCUGAGGCUGAGGACAGUCCUGUCAGGCGG
ensembl:lncRNA